CGGGCAGGCUGUCUGUUAAGUCUUUUGUGAAAAUCCGGGGCUCAACCCCGUGAAACGCAGAUGAUACUGGCAGACUGGAGACCGGUAGAGGCUAGCGGAAUUCCUGGUGUAGCGGUGGAAUGCGUAGAUAUCAGGAAGAACACCUGUGGCGAAGGCGGCUAGCUGGGCCGGGUCUGACGCUCAUCCGCGAAAGCGUGGGGAGCAAACAGGAUUAGAUACCCUGGUAGUCC
rnacentral:rRNA from 1 species